rnacentral:rRNA from 1 species
GCGGCGGACGGGUGAGUAAUGCCUAGGAAUCUGCCUGGUAGUGGGGGACAACGUUUCGAAAGGAACGCUAAUACCGCAUACGUCCUACGGGAGAAAGUGGGGGAUCUUCGGACCUCACGCUAUCAGAUGAGCCUAGGUCGGAUUAGCUAGUUGGUGAGGUAAAGGCUCACCAAGGCGACGAUCCGUAACUGGUCUGAGAGGAUGAUCAGUCACACUGGAACUGAGACACGGUCCAGACUCCUACGGGAGGCAGCAGUGGGGAAUAUUGGACAAUGGGCGAAAGCCUGAUCCAGCCAUGCCGCGUGUGUGAAGAAGGUCUUCGGAUUGUAAAGCACUUUAAGUUGGGAGGAAGGGCAGUAAGUUAAUACCUUGCUGUUUUGACGUUACCAACAGAAUAAGCACCGGCUAACUUCGUGCCAGCAGCCGCGGUAAUACGAAGGGUGCAAGCGUUAAUCGGAAUUACUGGGCGUAAAGCGCGCGUAGGUGGUUCGUUAAGUUGGAUGUGAAAGCCCCGGGCUCAACCUGGGAACUGCAUCCAAAACUGGCGAGCUAGAGUAUGGCAGAGGGUGGUGGAAUUUCCUGUGUAGCGGUGAAAUGCGUAGAUAUAGGAAGGAACACCAGUGGCGAAGGCGACCACCUGGGGCUAAUACUGACACUGAGGUGCGAAAAGCGUGGGGAGCAAACAGGGAUUUAGAUACCCUGGUAGUCCACGCCG